GAUGAACGCUGGCGGCGUGCCUAAUACAUGCAAGUCGAGCGAACAGACGAGGAGCUUGCUCCUCUGACGUUAGCGGCGGACGGGUGAGUAACACGUGGAUACCCUACCUAUAAGACUGGGAUAACUUCGGGAAACCGGAGCUAAUACCGGAUAAUAUAUUGAACCGCAUGGUUCAAUAGUGAAAGACGGUUUUGCUGUCACUUAUAGAUGGAUCCGCGCCGCAUUAGCUAGUUGGUAAGGUAACGGCUUACCAAGGCAACGAUGCGUAGCCGACCUGAGAGGGUGAUCGGCCACACUGGAGCUGAGACACGGUCCAGACUCCUACGGGAGGCAGCAGUAGGGAAUCUUCCGCAAUGGGCGAAAGCUUGACGGAGCAACGCCGCGUGAGUGAUGAAGGUCUUCGGAUCGUAAAACUCUGUUAUUAGGGAAGAACAAAUGUGUAAGUAACUAUGCACGUCUUGACGGUACCUAAUCAGAAAGCCACGGCUAACUACGUG
rnacentral:rRNA from 1 species